AUUGAACGCUAGCGGGAUGCUUUACACAUGCAAGUCGAACGGCAGCGCGGACUUCGGUCUGGCGGCGAGUGGCGAACGGGUGAGUAAUGUAUCAGAACGUGCCCAGUAGCGGGGGAUAACUACGCGAAAGCGUAGCUAAUACCGCAUACGCCCUACGGGGGAAAGCAGGGGAUCGUAAGACCUUGCACUAUUGGAGCGGCCGAUAUCGGAUUAGCUAGUUGGUGAGGUAACGGCUCACCAAGGCGACGAUCCGUAGCUGGUUUGAGAGGACGACCAGCCACACUGGGACUGAGACACGGCCCAGACUCCUACGGGAGGCAGCAGUGGGGAAUUUUGGACAAUGGGGGCAACCCUGAUCCAGCCAUCCCGCGUGUGCGAUGAAGGCCUUCGGGUUGUAAAGCACUUUUGGCAGGAAAGAAACGUCGCGGGCUAAUACCCCGUGGAACUGACGGUACCUGCAGAAUAAGCACCGGCUAACUACGUG
rnacentral:rRNA from 1 species